GUGCUCACUUCGGGAGCACAUAUACUAAAAUUGGAAUGGUAGAGAAGAUUAGUAUGCCCCCUGAGCAAAGAUGACAUGCAAAUUCCUGAAGCAUUCCAUAUAAAA